UGCUCUACCGACUGAGCUAAAGAGGCUUAAGCCACUACAGCUGGACUGUCACUACAGCUGGACUGUAGUAGCAACUUGAUAUCAAGGGUCGUUACAACAUUAAGACAGGUUGGUUUUGAAUUGAAAAGAGUCUUGUUUGCCAUGAACGUGGGACUUUUCGUCGCAUUGGUGCUACCAGUAGCAGUGCUGGCUUGGAACUACCAGGACGAUGAAGGUCCGAAUGUUUGGAAGAACAGCUAUCCAAUCUGUGGCAGAAGCCAGCAAUCCCCAGUGGACAUCGACCCAACAAAGAGUAUAUUUGAAGCAAAACUCAGCUCUCCGUUUGUCUUUGGCAACUAUGACAAGCCUUAUUCUAGCAAACCUGUCAAGAUAAAAAACAAUGGACACAGUAUUGAGGUGGAUAUUCUGCAAUCCGCGGACGUUCCAGUGAUUGUCCGUGGUGGAGGACUGCCGGGUACAUACCGUGGUGUGCAGCUUCAUUUCCAUUGGGGAAGCACCAACAACCAAGGAUCUGAACACACCGUCAAUGGCAGGAAAUAUCCAAUAGAACUUCAUAUCGUCCACUACAACACGGACAGAUUCAGGGAGUUUGGAGAUGCCGUUGCCCAAUCGGAAGGUCUUGCAGUGUUGGGAGUUUUCCUUGAAAUCACUAAGGAAGAUAACCCUGCACUUUCUCCUAUCACCGACGCAAUAAAAACGCUUGCAGUUCCGGGGUCUUCUACAUGGUCAACGACUGCUUUGGAACUAGACGAGCUUCUGCCUAAGUCAACACACAAGUUCUACCGUUAUAGUGGAAGUCUAACCACUCCACCUUGCUUUGAAAGUGUCGUGUGGACAGUCUUCCAAGAUCCAGUGGGCAUUUCUGAAAAUCAGCUGAUGGAGUUCAGGCGUAUGUUUGAUAGCGAUAAGAACCACAUGGAGAACAACUACCGACCUCCUUUAAGUAUGAAUGGUAGAACUCUAUACUCCAGCACCUCCACAAAAACAGAGCUUUAACAUGGAAGGUGAACUUGACUUAAGGCACUUAUCACUUACAAUGGCGGAUCCAGAAGCUAACAAGAGGACCCAAAUUUCAGAUCAGGCAAAAAUAUCCGGGCCACUAUUCCAUAAAUAGUCCCAAAUUUUGAUAAUUUGAGGCCCGUUGAUAAAAAGGUCCAAAAAUGCAAAAGUUAUGCCCAAGAAUGGGCACUAAUGGAGCCCAUACAAAAUCUCCGGGCCCAAAAUAUUUCUUUUCUGGUCCCACCAAAUGGGGAGGGUCUGCUUUUGUCAGAAACGUAUUACUCAAGUAAAAUGUGGACAUUGAGAGAAUGUUGUAAGUUGUGUAUGUAACA
rnacentral:misc_RNA from 1 species